GACGUAGGAUGCAAGCGUUGUCCGGAUUUAUUGGGCGUAAAGAGUUCGUAGGUGGUUCGUUAAGUCUGAUGUUAAAGACUGGGGCUCAACCCUGGAAGUGCAUUGGAUACUGGCGGACUUGAGUGUGGUAGAGGCAAUCGGAAUUCCAGGUGUAGCGGUGAAAUGCGUAGAUAUCUGGAAGAACACCAGUGGCGAAGGCGACUUACUGGACACAUAUUGACGCUGAGGUGCGAAAGCGUGGGGAGCAAACAGG
rnacentral:rRNA from 1 species